GGGGAAUAUUGCACAAUGGGGGAAACCCUGAUGCAGCGACGCCGCGUGGAGGAAGAAGGUCUUCGGAUUGUAAACUCCCGUUGUUGGGGAAGAUAAUGACGGUACCCAACAAGGAAGUGACGGCUAACUACGUGCCAGCAGCCGCGGUAAAACGUAGGUCACAAGCGUUGUCCGGAAUUACUGGGUGUAAAGGGAGCGCAGGCGGGAAGACAAGUUGGAAGUGAAAUCUAUGGGCUCAACCCAUAAACUGCUUUCAAAACUGUUUUUCUUGAGUAGUGCAGAGGUAGGCGGAAUUCCCGGUGUAGCGGUGGAAUGCGUAGAUAUCGGGAGGAACACCAGUGGCGAAGGCGGCCUACUGGGCACCAACUGACGCUGAGGCUCGAAAGUGUGGGUAGCAAACAGGAUUAGAUACCCUGGUAGUCCACACCGUAAACGAUGAUUACUAGGUGUUGGAGGAUUGACCCCUUCAGUGCCGCAGUUAACACAAUAAGUAAUCCACCUGGGGAGUACGACCGCAAGGUUGAAACUCAAAGGAAUUGACGGGGGCCCGCACAAGCAGUGGAGUAUGUGGUUUAAUUCGACGCAACGCGAAGAACCUUACCAAGUCUUGACAUCCCUUGACAGACAUAGAAAUAUGUAUUCUCUUCGGAGCAAGGAGACAGGUGGUGCAUGGUUGUCGUCAGCUCGUGUCGUGAGAUGUUGGGUUAAGUCCCGCAACGAGCGCAACCCUUAUGGUCAGUUACUACGCAAGAGGACUCUGGCCAGACUGCCGUUGACAAAACGGAGGAAGGUGGGGAUGACGUCAAAUCAUCAUGCCCUUUAUGACUUGGGCUACACACGUACUACAAUGGCGUUAAACAAAGAGAAGCAAGACCGCGAGGUGGAGCAAAACUCAGAAACAACGUCCCAGUUCGGACUGCAGGCUGCAACUCGCCUGCACGAAGUCGGAAUUGCUAGUAAUCGUGGAUCAGCAUGCCACGGUGAAUACGUUCCCG
rnacentral:rRNA from 1 species